UUAAAUGGCCGCGGUAUUUUGACCGUGCUAAGGUAGCAUAAUCAUUAGUUUUUUAAUUGAAAGCUAGAAUGAAGGGUUGGAUGAAAAAAAAACUGUCUCUAUUUAAUUAGUAUAGAAUUUUAUUUAUAAGUUAAAAAGCUUAUAUUUUAUUAAAAGACGAGAAGACCCUUUAGAGUUUAAUAAUUUAUUAAUUUAAAAAAUUUGGUAUUUAAGUUUUUAUUUUUAUUAAUUAUUUAGUUGGGGUGACUUAAAAAUUUAAUGAACUUUUUUUAAUUUUUAUAUUUAUAAAUAAUUAUUUGAUCCAUAAAUUUUGAUUAUAAGAUAAAAUUACCUAAGGGAUAACAGCGUAAUUUUAUUGGAGAGUU
rnacentral:rRNA from 1 species